AAACCGGGAGCUAGCCCUAGCAAGCUAGCAGUCAUCUGCCGGAGAACCGUGCCGCUCGAUCACGCCCAAGAUGGACGGCAUCCUACGAGAGGCCGUCGUCGACUCCUUCAUGGAGGUCACAUCGUGCGGCUCACAGUCGAUCGCCGUGCGUCUUCUCGAUUCCUGUGGCUGGCAACUCGAGGCCGCCAUCAACCGCUACUUCACCACCGGCGCCGCCGACCCCGCGCCCGAUCCUCCCGU
rnacentral:lncRNA from 1 species